UGCUCAGUAACACGUGGAUAACCUACCCUUAGGACUGGGAUAACCUUGGGAAACUGAGGAUAAUACCGGAUAGGCAAUUUUUCCUGUAAUGGUUUUUUGUUUAAAUGUUUUUUUCGCCUAAGGAUGGGUCUGCGGCCGAUUAGGUAGUUGGUUAGGUAAUGGCUUACCAAGCCGUUGAUCGGUACGGGUUGUGAGAGCAAGAGCCCGGAGAUGGAACCUGAGACAAGGUUCCAGGCCCUACGGGGUGCAGCAGGCGCGAAACCUCCGCAAUGUGAGAAAUCGCGACGGGGGGAUCCCAAGUGCCAUUCUUAACGGGAUGGCUUUUCAUUAGUGUAAAGAGCUUUUGGAAUAAGAGCUGGGCAAGACCGGUGCCAGCCGCCGCGGUAACACCGGCAGCUCUAGUGGUAACAAUUUUUAUUGGGCCUAAAGCGUCCGUAGCCGGUUCAAUAAGUCUCUGGUGAAAUCCUGUAGCUUAACUGUGGGAAUUGCUGGAGAUACUAUUAGACUUGAGACCGGGAGAGGUUAGAGGUACUCCCAGGGUAGAGGUGAAAUUCUGUAAUCCUGGGAGGACCGCCUGUUGCGAAGGCGUCUAACUGGAACGGUUCUGACGGUGAGGGACGAAAGUUAGGGGCGCGAACCGGAUUAGAUACCCGGGUAGUCCUAACUGUAAACGAUGCGGACUUGGUGUUGGGGUGGCUUUGAGCUGCUCCAGUGCCGAAGGGAAGCUGUUAAGUCCGCCGCCUGGGAAGUACGGUCGCAAGACUGAAGCUUAAAGGAAUUGGCGGGGGAGCACCACAACGCGUGGAGCCUGCGGUUUAAUUGGAUUCAACGCCGGACAUCUCACCAGAGGCGACAGCUGUAUGAUAGCCAGGUUGAUGACUUUGCUUGACUAGCUGAGAGGAGGUGCAUGGCCGCCGUCAGCUCGUACCGUGAGGCGUCCUGUUAAGUCAGGCAACGAGCGAGACCCACGCCCUUAGUUACCAGCUUAUCCCUUUUGGGAUGAUGGGCACACUAGGGGGACCGCCUAUGAUAAAUAGGAGGAAGGAGUGGACGACGGUAGGUCCGUAUGCCCCGAAUCCUCUGGGCAACACGCGGGCUACAAUGGCUGAGACAAUGGGUUCCGACACCGAAAGGUGGAGGUAAUCCUCUAAACUUAGUCGUAGUUCGGAUUGAGGACUGUAACUCGUUCUCAUGAAGCUGGAAUGCGUAGUAAUCGCGUAUCACUAUUGCGCGGUGAAUACGUCCCUGCUCCUUGCACACACCGA
rnacentral:rRNA from 1 species